rnacentral:misc_RNA from 1 species
GAUGAAGAACGUAGCGAAAUGCGAUAAGUAAUGUGAAUUGCAGAAUUCAGUGAAUCAUCGAAUCUUUGAACGCACAUUGCGCCCCUUGGUAUUCCGAGGGGCACGCCUGUUCGAGCGUCAUUAUAACCCUCAAGCUCAGCUUGGUGUUGGGGCCUGCUGCACUGGCAGCCCUUAAAAUCAGUGGCGGCGCCAUCUGGCUCUAAGCGUAGUAAUUCUUCUCGCUAUGGAGUCCUGGUGGAUGCUUGCCAUCAACCCCCAAUUUUUCUAUGGUUGACCUCGGAUCAGGUAGGGAUACCCGCUGAACUUAAGCAUAUCAAUAAGCGGAGGA